rnacentral:precursor_RNA from 8 species
AUUUCAAGGACAAAAGGUUCUCUGAUGGUAUUUGGCAAUGGUAGAACUCACACUGGUGAGGUAGUCAGAUCCGGUGGUUCUAGACUUGCCAACUACUACCUGAGAACAACUCCACUGUAAGGCAU